GCGCGCACGCCGUACACUGUCGAACGCCCGUCGCAUUUCGCCAAUCCAAUCAGUAUCAUACCGAGUCUCAUCGUAAACGGACCCCGGCCUUCAUACCGGCCUAUCUACAACACCGUGUAACCCCUAAAAACCAAAAACUCAUCCUACAAACGUAGUGCAUAACAUAAAAGACAAAAAAAGUUAUUAGUGACACUUCACGCCUAAAAAUGGAUUCCGACACCGUCGAGGAGACGUACGAGGAAGUGCGAAGUACCAAAACAGUGCGGCGCAGCAUCAAAAUCGAAGAAGAUGACAAAGGAGUUGACAGCGAAGACGAGACGUCGUCGAAAACCAAAACCACAACAAUGACCACCCCGGCGAAGCUCUACGGUAAAGAUCUCAGCGAAUACGAUGAAAUCGACGUCGAGGAGCUGCUUGCUAAGCUGUCACCUGAAGAAAUAAAUAUUCUUGCCAAAGAAGUUGAUCCUGAUGAUAGUUUCUUGCCACCUUCACAAAGAUGCAGUUAUGAUUGUGAAAAAGAACCAACUGGACCACUCAAUCGCAAGCAACUCAUCGAACACAUCAAUAAACAGGCUCUGGAAACACCAGACCAGCCUGAGUUGAAGCCAUAUGUGGCUGGGACAAUUCGUGGCAAGAAAUGGAUCCCACCGCCAAUUCCAAUCAAAGAACAAGAAGCAGGUGAACAGAUAGCCAUUGAUAUGGGUGAUGAGUAUGAACAGGCUUUGUCAGAAGCCACACAAGAGGAGAUCAUUGACUUGGCUGCUAUUCUCGGCUUCCACUCGAUGAUGAAUCAGGAUCAGUACCAUGCGUCGCUGCUGAACAAGGGACAGCCGGUGGGCAUGGGCUGGGACGGCAUUACGAAAGCUUCCAAGCAGAAGCUGUUUCCUGCCGAGCCGCCAAACAACACCGAUCCGGACGAAACCAUCAAACAGGUGCAGAACGACGAUCCUAAACUGAUUGACCUCAAUUGGAAUAAUAUUAAGAAUAUCUCUGAUGAAAAGUUUGAAAGCUUAUUCGAAGCGCUCAAAGAAAACACACACCUCGAAACGCUCAACCUAGUCAAUGUGGGUCUGAGCGACCGGCACUCGAACAAACUGGCCGAUGCGCUGGAGCUCAACCACACCAUUCGAGUGCUCAACGUUGAGACCAACUUCAUCUCGCCUGCGGGUAUCGUUCGCCUGGUCAAAGCCCUGCUUAAGACGAAAUCCAUGGAAGAAUUCAGAGGAACAAAUCAGAGAUCGAGCGUGUUGGGUAACAAAAUCGAAAUGGAAAUCACAAACCUCGUGGAGAAGAAUCCGACGCUGCUGAGGUUGGGCUUGCAUUUAGAGUACAACGAUGCGCGUCACCGCAUCGCCACACAUUUACAACGCAACGUUGACACAAAUGGGCGUGUAAUGAAAGCGAAUUACAAGAUAACGCUGGGCGCUUCGGGCGCCGCGAUUAAGAUUGAGCAAACGUUGUGAAUUCAGGGUGUGAUCAGGUGCGAAGCGUUGAGCGAACAUGCAACGUCGGUCUCGGCUGGGAGCGACCAGCUCGUAGUGUGCGCGCUUUGUGUCGCAAUAAAUGGGACGCCAGCGCCGCAUCGGCCUUCCGCGCAACUACCUGGUCGGAUGGAUCAAUUAGACAUUAAGUCUUCUCCAGAGCUGCAAACAUCGCUUCUUUUGCACUACAACACACACACAUCCACACACAAUACAAUUCUCUCCAACACUGCGAACAAAGCAUUCAGUAGCCGGAUCGCGAUUCCUAGCCGCCGCCGCACGGGCUUCAUUAAUUGUACUACUAACCUAACAUAAUGGAUAAAGUUAAUGAUUAAUUUAUAAAACAAAUGCUGAUGGAAUGGACAACUUUCAACCAACAUCGCCCAGACAUGAAUAAGAUAAAUUCUACUCUACUAUAUACAUUUAUGAAAUAACGUCGUAACAUUAAUUUAUUUCUAAGUUUAUACAUAUACAUAUAUCGUACAUUUUAGGUAGACACACCAGUAGAUCGUACAACGAUUACUUUUUAAUUCAUAUAUAGUUCGAUUGUAUUAAGUGUCGCGUUGUUAUAGUUUUGUUCAACAUCUUCGUUCUAGUAUUUGUAUUUUGUUUGCCUGCCAAAUCGGAUCUAUCAAACAGUUUAUCACUGCCAAAAUUCAAACGUAAAUAAUUCUUAUUGUGAUAAACUUUAAUUGAAAUUGCAAAUAUCUACAAAUUGAUUCAUAUAGGCAAAUUGUUAUUGAGUUGUUAGGAUGUGAACAUUGUUUAUUUUUAUUUGUUUUAUCAUUUGAUUCAAUGAUUUAUUGACGUGGAGAGGUGAACUGACCUAUAUUAUUGAUUAUAACUUGUAAAUUUAUCGCCUAGAGAUGAUAAUGAAUAAAUGUAAAAGAGAUUUUAAUCGUCAA